rnacentral:rRNA from 1 species
UGGGGAAUUUUGGACAAUGGGCGAAAGCCUGAUCCAGCAAUGCCGCGUGUGUGAAGAAGGCCUUCGGGUUGUAAAGCACUUUUGUCCGGAAAGAAAUCCUUGGCUCUAAUACAGUCGGGGGAUGACGGUACCGGAAGAAUAAGCACCGGCUAACUACGUGCCAGCAGCCGCGGUAAUACGUAGGGUGCAAGCGUUAAUCGGAAUUACUGGGCGUAAAGCGUGCGCAGGCGGUUUGCUAAGACCGAUGUGAAAUCCCCGGGCUCAACCUGGGAACUGCAUUGGUGACUGGCAGGCUAGAGUAUGGCAGAGGGGGGUAGAAUUCCACGUGCAGCAGUGAAAUGCGUAGAGAUGUGGAGGAAUACCGAUGGCGAAGGCAGCCCCCUGGGCCAAUACUGACGCUCAUGCACGAAAGCGUGGGGAGCAAACAGGAUUAGAUACCCUGGUAGUCCACGCCCUAAACGAUGUCAACUAGUUGUUGGGGAUUCAUUUCCUUAGUAACGUAGCUAACGCGUGAAGUUGACCGCCUGGGGAGUACGGUCGCAAGAUUCAAAACUUAAAUGAAUUGACGGGGUCAUAGCUGUUUCCU